AUUGAACGCUGGCGGCAGGCUUAACACAUGCAAGUCGAGCGGAGAGAGGUAGCUUGCUACUGAUCUUAGCGGCGGACGGGUGAGUAAUGCUUAGGAAUCUGCCUAUUAGUGGGGGACAACAUUUCGAAAGAAAUGCUAAUACCGCAUACGUCCUACGGGAGAAAGCAGGGGAUCUUCGGACCUUGCGCUAAUAGAUGAGCCUAAGUCGGAUUAGCUAGUUGGUGGGGUAAAGGCCUACCAAGGCGACGAUCUGUAGCGGGUCUGAGAGGAUGAUCCGCCACACUGGGACUGAGACACGGCCCAGACUCCUACGGGAGGCAGCAGAGGGGAAUAUUGGACAAUGGGCGGAAGCCUGAUCCAGCCAUGCCGCGUGUGUGAAGAAGGCCUUAUGGUUGUAAAGCACUUUAAGCGAGGAGGAGGCUACUUUAGUUAAUACCUAGAGAUAGUGGACGUUACUCGCAGAAUAAGCACCGGCUAACUCUGUGCCAGCCGCCGCCGUAAGAC
rnacentral:rRNA from 1 species